rnacentral:rRNA from 1 species
UCCGGCAGUCGGGGUUCGUGGAAAGUUUUUUUCGGCCAGGGAUGUGCUCGCGGCCUAUCAGCUUGUUGGUGGGGUAAUGGCCUACCAAGGCUUCGACGGGUAGCCGGCCUGAGAGGGUGACCGGCCACACUGGGACUGAGACACGGCCCAGACUCCUACGGGAGGCAGCAGUGGGGAAUAUUGGACAAUGGGCGGAAGCCUGAUCCAGCAACGCCGCGUGAGGGAUGACGGCCUUCGGGUUGUAAACCUCUUUCAGUACCGACGAAGCGCCGAUGAUGGUGGUGACGGUAGGUACAGAAGAAGCACCGGCCAACUACGUG